AGUGAACGCUGGCGGCGUGCCUAACACAUGCAAGUCGAACGAUGAUGGAGAGCUUGCUCUCCUGAUUAGUGGCGCACGGGUGAGUAUACAAUAGAUAAUGUACCUCUUAGUUCGGGAGAGCCACUGGAAACGGUGAUUAAUACCGGAUACUCCUUCUUGUCUUAAGGCGAGUCGGGAAAGUUUUUUCGCUAAGAGAUCAGUCUAUGUCCUAUCAGCUAGUUGGUGAGGUAAUGGCUCACCAAGGCUAUGACGGGUAUCUGGUUUGAGAGGAUGAUCAGACACACUGGAACUGAGACACGGUCCAGACUCCUACGGGAGGCAGCAGUGAGGAAUAUUGCACAAUGGAGGAAACUCUGAUGCAGCAACGCCGCGUGGAGGAUGACGCAUUUCGGUGUGUAAACUCCUUUUAAGAGGGAAGAUUAUGACGGUACCUCUUGAAUAAGCACCGGCUAACUCCGUGCCAGCAGCCGCCGUAA
rnacentral:rRNA from 1 species